GUUGAUAGGCCGGGUGUGUAAGCGCAGCGAUGCGUUGAGCUAACCGGUACUAAUGAACCGUGAGGCUUAACCUU
rnacentral:rRNA from 5 species